rnacentral:rRNA from 1 species
CGUGAAGUUGGAAUUGCUGUAAUCGCGGAUCAGCAUGCCGCGGUGAAUACGUUCCCGGGCCUUGUACACACCGCCCGUCACACCAUGGGAGCCGGUAAUACCCGAAGUCAGUAGCCUAACCGCAAGGGGGGCGCUGCCGAAGGUAGGAUUGGCGACUGGGGUGAAGUCGUAACAAGGUACC